UAGCAUAUCAAUAAGCGGAGGAAAAGAAACCAACAGGGAUUGCCCUAGUAACGGCGAGUGAAGCGGCAACAGCUCAAAUUUGAAAUCUGGCUCUUUCAGAGUCCGAGUUGUAAUUUGCAGAGGGCGCUUUGGCUUUGGCAGCGGUCCAAGUUCCUUGGAACAGGACGUCACAGAGGGUGAGAAUCCCGUACGUGGUCGCUAGCUAUUGCCGUGUAAAGCCCCUUCGACGAGUCGAGUUGUUUGGGAAUGCAGCUCUAAAUGGGAGGUAAAUUUCUUCUAAAGCUAAAUAUUGGCCAGAGACCGAUAGCGCACAAGUAGAGUGAUCGAAAGAUGAAAAGCACUUUGGAAAGAGAGUCAAACAGCACGUGAAAUUGUUGAAAGGGAAGCGCUUGCAGCCAGACUUGCUUGCAGUUGCUCAUCCGGGCUUUUGCCCGGUGCACUCUUCUGCAGGCAGGCCAGCAUCAGUUUGGGCGGUGGGAUAAAGGUCUCUGACACGUUCCUUCCUUCGGGUUGGCCAUAUAGGGGAGACGUCAUACCACCAGCCUGGACUGAGGUCCGCGCAUCUGCUAGGAUGCUGGCGUAAUGGCUGUAAGCGGCCCGUCUUGAAACACGGACCAAGGAGUCUAACAUCUAUGCGAGUGUUUGGGUGUCAAGCCCGAGCGCGUAAUGAAAGUGAACGGAGGUGGGAACCCGCAAGGGCGCACCAUCGACCGAUCCUGAAGUUUACGGAAGGAUUUGAGUAAGAGCAUGGCUGUUGGGACCCGAAAGAUGGUGAACUAUGCUUGAAUAGGGUGAAGCCAGAGGAAACUCUGGUGGAGGCUCGCAGCGGUUCUGACGUGCAAAUCGAUCGUCAAAUUUGGGCAUAGGGGCGAAAGACUAAUCGAACUAUCUAGUAGCUGGUUCCUGC
rnacentral:rRNA from 1 species